rnacentral:rRNA from 1 species
UACGAGAGGCGCAAACGUUAUUCGGAAUUACUGGGCUUAAAGAGUUCGUAGGCGGCGCAGAAAGUAGGGUGUGAAAGCCCUCGGCUCAACCGAGGAAUUGCGCUCUAAACUACUGUGCUUGAGGGACCUAGAGGUGAGCGGAACUGAUGGUGGAGCGGUGAAAUGCGUUGAUAUCAUCAGGAACACCGGAGGCGAAGGCGGCUCACUGGGGGUCUUCUGACGCUGAGGUGCGAAAGCGUGGGGAGCAAACAGG